rnacentral:lncRNA from 1 species
GCCAAAACCUUUACAAAGGGAUACCAUUCAGUUGUCACACAUGUCCUUUUAAUUGCCACUUCUGUGACACGAGUUUGAUAACGGCUUGUGAAAUUUUCUGCAAUCUAAAGUUUCAUAUUGUCUGCACUUGUAGUUUCUUUGGAGACACAAUUUGUCUCCUGACAAAUUGGAAAAUGAUGAAGAUAAUGACUUGAUGCACAUAUUAUAUUGACAUUGCUUUUUAGUCUCCAAUAUUUCAGUGAGUCAUGCUUUGGAAAUGACAAUAAUUUUUUAUUACCCAACACUUGAGUUGUUUUGUUUAUUACCCAACCCUUGAGUUGUUUUGUUUUUCAUUUAUCCAACCUUUUACUUA